rnacentral:lncRNA from 1 species
GUACUCUGUGUGACACUAAGAGACAACUGUAAAGUGCCAGGAUGAAGCUGCCAAGCUGUGUGCUUAAACCACUGCUCUCAAAAAGCCUUCUCUAGUCUUACUGACCGUGCUAACAUGGCCCGUGGGUCCAUUUUACAGAUGCGGAGAGAGCCCCAGAAGCUGUGAGCACUCUGCCCAGGGCUGGGUCCAUCUAGACUCCAUUGUCACAUACCUAGGAACCUAUUGCUUCCCCAUGGGAAUUUCCCUGUCCUCUCUGCCCCAGUUCCUUACCGCCUUACAGGAAGUAUUAGCCUGAUGCUGAUUAUAACCUAGCCAGUCACUAAAUUAAUGAAGGGUCUCCUCGUGGACAGAGCUGAGCUCCCAAAUUAGAGGAAGCCUGUAGCGUCCCAAGGAGAGCCCAGUAACUUUUGUAUUGAACAAGCAUGCCAAGCAAGCACUCUACCACUGACCUACAUUCUCAGGCUUCUUUUUACUGAUUUCAAGACUGCAUCUUCCUAACUCAAGCUGGCUGGCCUUAAAACUCUGAGCCCUUCAAGACUGGAGAGAUUAGCUGGGCAAGGUGGAGCACGCCUUUGGCCCUGGUGCUCUGUGAGUUCAAGGCUAGCCUGGUCUACAAAGCAAGUUCCAGGAUAACCUGGGCUGUAGCACAGAGAAACCCUACCUUGAAAAAACAAAAAGCUCAGUGGUUAAAAAAAAACAAAACAAAAAAACAAAAAAA